ACCCCACAGGGAGAGAGCGGGAGCACUAAGGAUUCCAAACUCAGUCCUCCUGAUCUUCAUCAGUAUUCGUCAUUGGCCAAACAAAUAACUGAAAUUCAGAGGGCAAGAGAGCUCAUUGUUAUCUAAACAGGUCAGCAUGGCAGACAGCGAGGCGAAGAGGGAAGGAAGGUGGAUUUGGAAGAACAAACGGGAGUGACCUAGUGCAGCCCUGAUAAACCCGCUGGGAGCUACCAGAGUAUUUGAC
rnacentral:lncRNA from 10 species